rnacentral:rRNA from 1 species
UACGUAGGGGGCAAGCGUUGUCCGGAAUCAUUGGGCGUAAAGAGCGUGUAGGCGGCCAGAAAAGUCCGCUGUGAAAACUCGAGGCUCAACUUCGAGCUGUCGGUGGAAACUUUCUGGCUAGAGUCCGGAAGAGGAGAAUGGAAUUCCUGGUGUAGCGGUGAAAUGCGCAGAUAUCAGGAGGAACACCUAUAGCGAAGGCAGCUUGCUGGGACGACACUGACGCUGAGGCGCGAAAGCGUGGGGAGCGAACAGG